rnacentral:rRNA from 1 species
CUGCAGCUCAAGUGGUGACCGCUAUUAUUGGGCCUAAAACGUUCGUAGCCGGCUGAGUAAAUGCUUGGGUAAAUCGUGCCGCUUAACGGUACGAAUUCCGGGUAGACUGCUCAGCUUGAGACCGGGAGAAGCUAGAGGUACUCCUGGGGUAGAGGUGAAAUUCUGUAAUCCUGGGGGGACCACCAGUGGCGAAGGCGUCUAGCUAGAACGGGUCUGACGGUGAGGGACGAAACCCUGGGGCGCAAACCGGAUUAGAUACCCGAGUAGUCC